rnacentral:precursor_RNA from 15 species
UUCGACGAAUCUAAACAGUAUACAGAAAGCCAUCAAAGCGGUGGUUGAUGUGUUGCAAAUUAUGACUUUCAUAUCACAGCCAGCUUUGAUGUGCUGCCUGUUGCACUGUAAUUUUUUAUAGCAA